rnacentral:hammerhead_ribozyme from 1 species
AUCCAGCUGACGAGUCCCAAAUAGGACGAAAAGCACAUGUUGGGU